ACGCUGGCGGCGUGCCUAAUACAUGCAAGUCGAACGGUCUUUCUAUGGAAGCUUGCUUCCACUGAGAAGAUAGUGGCGAACGGGUGAGUAACACGUGGGUAACCUGCCCAUAAGAGGGGGAUAACAUCCGGAAACGGGUGCUAAUACCGCAUAGUUUUCUUGAUCGCAUGAUCGGGAAAGGAAAGACGGCCUUUGUGCUGUCGCUUAUGGAUGGACCCGCGGCGUAUUAGUUAGUUGGUGAGGUAACGGCUCACCAAGACGAUGAUACGUAGCCGACCUGAGAGGGUGAUCGGCCACAUUGGGACUGAGACACGGCCCAAACUCCUACGGGAGGCAGCAGUAGGGAAUCUUCCGCAAUGGACGAAAGUCUGACGGAGCAACGCCGCGUGAGUGAAGAAGGUUUUUCCGGAUCGUAAAACUCUGUUGUCAGAGAAGAACAAGUUGGAGAGUAACUGCUCCAGCCUUGACGGUAUCUGACCAGAAAGCCACGGCUAACUACGUGCCAGCCGCAGC
rnacentral:rRNA from 1 species